rnacentral:tRNA from 1 species
GGGGCCUUAGCUCAGCUGUGAGAGCACCUGCUUUGCAAGCAGGGGGUCGUCGGUUCGAUCCCGACAGGCUCCACCA